rnacentral:rRNA from 1 species
UCCUACGGGGGGCAGCAGUGGGGAAUUUUGGACAAUGGGCGCAAGCCUGAUCCAGCCAUUCCGCGUGCAGGAUGAAGGCCUUCGGGUUGUAAACUGCUUUUGUACGGAACGAAAAAGCCCUUUCUAAUACAGAGGGUCCAUGACGGUACCGUAAGAAUAAGCACCGGCUAACUACGUGCCAGCAGCCGCGGUAAUACGUAGGGUGCGAGCGUUAAUCGGAAUUACUGGGCGUAAAGCGUGCGCAGGCGGUGAUGUAAGACAGAUGUGAAAUCCCCGGGCUCAACCUGGGAACUGCAUUUGUGACUGCAUCGCUGGAGUGCGGCAGAGGGGGAUGGAAUUCCGCGUGUAGCAGUGAAAUGCGUAGAUAUGCGGAGGAACACCGAUGGCGAAGGCAAUCCCCUGGGCCUGCACUGACGCUCAUGCACGAAAGCGUGGGGAGCAAACAGGAUUAGAUACCCGUGUAA